GGUAAUUCCAUAUUUACUCCAAGAAAUUAAUUAAAAUAAAAUUUUGAGGCACUUAGGUAAUUGAUCUGAAUUUCUAGAAUGUAACCGACCCUCAACAUUUAUUGUUUUAUCAUAAACAAAUAAAACACGGAAACCCUUUUUACCCUUCAUGUUUAGUAUCCAUUUGUUUUCUUCUUUCUUGAUAACAGCCUUGAGUUUUUCUGUAAAAGUGCUCAAAUUAAAAAGAAAAACAAGAAGAACGAAAAAAUGCCUAAAAAUUAAUAGAAGUGCAGAGUAUAGGAAAAGUUUUAACUCUUUUCUUCAUCUCUGAAUUAGUUGUAGGACUAGAAAUUGGGACAAUUCUUGGCAAGACAGAUUUGACAACAUGCUUGAAAGUACGGAUGUCCUGGAAUCUUAGAAUGUAUUUUUUUUUUGAGCAUAUUCAUGCCAAGCUGGAGAAACACCAGUGAUCCUGACCACUGGAUUCACCCACCCCAUCUUACUGACAACAAAACUAGCCAAGAGGAGGUGCUAGAUGCUGGGCUUCGUUCACUGUGCCUUUUUUGGAUGACACAGCUGGGAUCACCAUACAGUCUCCUCGUCCCAGCAACUACAAAACUCCCAAGAGUUGUAACAUGCCCCUGCUCUUACAAUACAUCAGAUUUGGACUAAAGAAUUUCAUCCAUCCAGACCAAAAGGGAGUUAAAAGGUACCCAUCUAGGUGCUGGUUGGAUCACACAGAAGAUUCCAGAUGAAGUUUCUAUUUCUCACUGGGCUCUCAUUCCUUUGGAAAUCAUUCUUUAGAGUAAACAAUGAUGGCUAUGUAAUUAAUCACGAUUCUCUCUUUGCCUUGAUUUUUAUGGAGUUCAGAUUUAAGUUGGAGUGAAGUGUACCUCAGUCAUCUGUAAAAAUGUAGAAAUAAAAAUGAAUAAAUUUG